GGGCGUAUAGCUCAGCGGUUAGAGCGCCUGCCUUACAAGCAGGAUGUCGGCGGUUCGAAUCCGUCUACGCCCACCA
rnacentral:tRNA from 2 species